rnacentral:rRNA from 1 species
AGUAAAGUGGCGCACGGGUGAGUAACACGUGGAUAAUCUGCCUUUUUGUGGGGGGAGUAACCUGGGGGAAAACCUGGGCUAAUACCGCAUAAGCUCGAGAGAGGAAAGCCGCAAGGCGCAGGAAGAGGAGUCCGCGGUCGAUUAGCUAGUUGGUAGGGUAAAAGCCUACCAAGGCCACGAUCGAUAGCCGGCCUGAGAGGGCACACGGCCACACUGGCACUGAAACACGGGCCAG